UCGUGGGGUGAUUUGUCUGCUUAAUUGCGAUAACGAACGAGACCUUAACCUGCUAAAUAGCCAGGCUAGCUUUGGCUGGUCGCCGGCUUCUUAGAGGGACUAUCGGCUCAAGCCGAUGGAAGUUUGAGGCAAUAACA
rnacentral:rRNA from 1 species